rnacentral:rRNA from 2 species
CAAGUCGAACGAGCUUCCGUUGAAUGACGUGCUUGCACUGAUUUCAACAAUGAAGCGAGUGGCGAACUGGUGAGUAACACGUGGGGAAAUCUGCCCAGAAGCAGGGGAUAACACUUGGAAACAGGUGCUAAUACCGUAUAACAACAAAAUCCGCAUGGAUUUUGUUUGAAAGGUGGCUUCGGCUAUCACUUCUGGAUGAUCCCGCGGCGUAUUAGUUAGUUGGUGAGGUAAAGGCCCACCAAGACGAUGAUACGUAGCCGACCUGAGAGGGUAAUCGGCCACAUUGGGACUGAGACACGGCCCAACUCCUACGGGAGGCAGCAGUAGGGAAUCUUCCACAAUGGACGAAAGUCUGAUGGGAGCAUGCC